GCCCAAGUGAGAGGUGUAGGAUUUGGGACUGUGGAGGUCUCUCCCUCCUCUGCCUCCAUAACCUCAACCCAAGUGGGAAUUGAAGGAGUUGGGACUGUGGAGGUCUCUGCCUCCUCUGCCUCCAUAAUUUCACCCCCUGUGAGAGGUAAAAGAGUUGAGGCUGUGGAUGUCUCUGGCUCCUCUGCCUCCAUAAUCUCACCCCCUGUGAUAGGUGAAGGAGUUGGAGCUGUGGAUGUCUCGGCCUCCUCUGCCUCCAUAGUCUCACCCCCUGUGAGAGGUGGAUGAGUUGGGACUGUGGAGGUCUCUGCCUUCUCUUCCUCCAUAAUCACACCCAAUGUGCACGGUGUAGGAGUGGGGGUUGUGGAUGUCUCUUCCUCCUCUUCUUCCAUAAUCACACCCAAUGUGCGAGGUGUAGGAGUGGGGUCUGUGGACAUCUCUUCCUCCUCUUCCUCCAUAAUCACACCCAAUGUGCGAGCUGUAGGAGUGGGGGCUGUGGACGUCUCUUCCUCAUCUUCCUCCAUAAUCUCAGCCCAAAUGGGAAUUGAAGGAGUUGGAACUGUGGACGUCUCUUCCUCCUCUUCCUCCAUAAUCACACCCAAUGUGCGAGGUGUAGGAGUGGGGACUGUGGACGUCUCUUCCUCCUCUGCGUCCAUAAUCUCAGCCCAAGUGGGAAUUGAAGGAGUUGGGACUCUGGAGGUCUCUGCCUCCAUAACCUCAGCCCAAGUGAGAGGUGUAGGAGUUGGGACUGUGGAGGUCUCUCCAUCCUCUGCCUCCAUAACCUCAGCCCAAGUGGGAAUUGAAGGUGUUGGGACUGUGGAUGUCUCUGCCUCCUCUGCCUCCAUACUUUCACCCCCUGUGAGAGGUGAAGGAGUUGGGGCUGUGGACGUCUCGGGCUCCUCUGCCUCCAUAAUCUCACCCCCUGUGAGAGGUGAAGGAGUUGUGGGUGUGGAUGGAGACACUUCAUCUCUGCUUUGGUCAGGAGACAGAUUGGAGGUGGGCUGACGCUCAAGCUCUGACACAUGUGGUGAUGUGGACACAGGUGC
ensembl:lncRNA